CGCAGGCCAAAAGCAGACUAAGCGAUCAAGAUCCAGUAUCUCCCAUACGGUCCAGCUGGAGCUCUUAUUUGGAUUUGGGAGUGCAUCACGCACCACUGUGGAUCAGAGCUCCACGCUGGCAAA